CUUGGCACUUGGUGUGGAUAUUUAGGAGCAGGUCUGAAUUAAGAGGAAUCAAGAGAAGAGCAAACAAAAUUGUAUUUAGAGAUCUUGGGAAUUAUUUCUGUAGAUGCUGAAGUCUGGGUGGCAUAAGUCUUUUCCUACACUCUGAUAGGUUUCCCAGGUCAGAUCUGACUGUCCCUAAGGUGGGUGCUGGAGAGCACUCUUAUUUUUGGCUAGGGUUGCAAAUGGCAUCAAGGACCUCACUCAGCACUGCAGAAUUCCCAGUGGUUUACAACAGGCAGUUGAUCACCAGAGAAGCCCUCUCCAAAGCGCUUUCUCCCAUCUACAAGCUGAUUCUAGCAGAGCACUGUCCAACAGAAAAAGUGAUGUGAGACACUAAUUUUGUUUUCCAAUAGCCAUAUGAAAAAGUGAGAAAUAGAUGAAAUUAUGCAGUCAAAAUCCAAUGUGUAUUUACAUUGAGAGCAGAUUUUUAUUUUAUUUUAUGUUUUCUACCAGUGGCUACUGGGUAGCAGAGCUGUUGAGAACCAGAGCAAAGCAAGAUAUGUGUGAUCCUUCAAAAAUGAAUGGGCAGGAUUGGAGCCAGUGACUGUGGCAGGGUAGAGAUGUAGGAUAGGUCACUGCUUGAGGGCAUUUAAAAAAGGAGCCAUCCUCUCAACAUGCUUAUGUAAAGUGGUAUUUUCCCCCUCUAAAUAGAGCAAAAAAGCAACUCUAAGAUCAACAUACAAACCACAAUGAAAUAAUUAGGAUGCUAUGCAAUUUCUUCUGUAUUUCUGCAGUUGGGAAUUAAACCAUUGGAUUGACCCUUUGACUGCCUUUAUCUCUAAGAUUUAUUAGGCAGCUAUUUCUUUCACAGGCCAAGCAUUCUUCCGAGGGGCUGUAAUCACUAACGUGUGUCUUCCCUUUCAGAGAUAUGAAUUGCUGAGCCCAGAGCCUGGCCAAUAGUCUGUACCUUUGAUUCCUUUGAACUCAUAAAGUGAGCAUCCUGCCAAGGGGGCAUGUGAGGCAGAAGAGAGUUUUGGCUGUGGGUUUCACAGCCUUCUGUGGAAGGAGGGCCUGACUGGUAUCAUUUGCCAAUUCUCAUGGUAUAAAUACUCCUACAGGGGCUGAUUCCACCAGGAUGUCCCCAAACAUGGAAGCGACGUGAGCAGCACCAUGAUACUGAACUCUAUCAUAUGGAAAUAAUGGAUGUGUGCAAACUCAGCGGCAUAAAUAAUUUUAGCAAAAGGCAGUAAAAAAACCUAGAAGUGAUGUUCUGAGCAUUUAUCAUUUUUUAUGAUAAAUGAUAUGGUCACCAUAGUGAUAAAAACCCAAACAGCUGAGGUGCUGACCGAGCGUUCUGACUUCAAACAUGGGGACAGCACAGGCCUCUAUCUGUUCCUUCUCACCAGGGGCAGGACGUGGCAUGGAUGGAAUCAUGAAACAAGUCUCAUGGAAACAUUGUGCCUACGUAAGAUGCUGGCUUCCUGGGACAAGAUGGCAUGAAUAGCAGGGCCAGUCCAGGAAGAUGUUUCCUCACUUUUCAGAUGUCAGAAGCCAAUCUGCCUGGGCUUUGACCCCGUGAAAGGAGCAGAAUUUCCAUAUUCCCUUUUAGGGUUGCUUUUCUUGCUGCCUUUACAAAACCCAAACCUGGGGUUGCCCAGAGGAAUCCAGCCUGGCCUCAGAGACUCAUCUGAAUGGAGCCAAGAAAGGAUUAGGUUGCUCAUGCUCAAACAUAUUGAUGAAUGGAUUUCCUUUUCCCAUUACAUAUUGGCAUUUCUAAUGAUCAAGGACCUAACUCAUCUGAUUGCUGGACUACAAAUUUCAGCCAACCACAAAGGUCAGAAAAGUACAUGUUUAUUCCACACUAACUCACUGUGUGAAAAAAAUACUUUAGAAGUGUAGUCCAAGCCUCAGUGAACUGGCCAGUAUUUAAUUGUCCUAAAAUUAUAGUUUGUUUUGCUCAUGUUUGGACCUGGUAAAGCACUGAUGAAUAGCUGUUACUCACAAGUAACAGUGCAGUUA